AUGCCAACAAGACCAGCUCAGAAUUGUGCUUGUUUAAAUCCUAAUCAUUUUGUUUCUUACCUUGGCUGUGCUCCUUUCCCUCCAGUUUACUGCUUUUGGAGAGCCUGGCCUGGUUUGUCGUUCUUCGAACCAUCCUUUGUCCGAUGGAGGAAUAUUUAAGUGUAUUUAUCACUGCUGAAAGCCCGCUCUUGUUUUCCUGGACCAGCAAGCACAAGGAAAGAACUCAGAACCUGUGAACAGAGAUUAUGCUCAACGCUCUGCCAGUCCACCCUCCAACACCACUCCUCUCCUAGAAGGAACUCCCCGCAGCUCAUGCCAGCCUGCCAAACUCAGUUUCUGUGACUAACUCACCUUUCCCUGAACAUCCGCAUCCACAUCCAGAAAGAAGGCUUACAGUUCUCAACCCUCUUCAGAUGUAAAUUCACUGAGUUAUCGUCAUCUUCCAGUGUUGGUGUGAUGGUGGCUCGGAGUUGAAUGAAAAACCCAAAGCUGCUACGACAGUCCAUGCAAAAAGGAAAGAAAACCCAAUCUAAGCUGUUGUCAGUCUUCCUGUCAUCCCUGCGGUGUGUUUGGAUGACACAAGUGCUGCUCUUUAAAGCUCCAAAUAUCUCUGUUCCAGACUAAAUCUCUGACUUGCCUUUUACCAUUUAGGCCCUCUAGGCCCAGCAGGUUAUCAGGUUAUACACGUAAUGUGUAGUUAGUCAGCAGCAAUGUGCAGCAAAAAGUUCCAGAGAGCAUAAGGCAGCCCAUCCCAAAAAUGCUCCAUGUUGUUAUACGGCUUCUGAUUCAGCCAUUAAUCAUCUUUUCAUUUUAUUUUUUGAAGUCUUUGCAAAAAUGUCUAUUCAUUGAUUACACUUGGUUGUGAAAAUUAUUUUCUGAUUAGGUCUGUACCUAACCAACCAAGACAAAUGCUUGUCCUUUCACUGGCUGUUCUCCUUAGUUUGUGUUUUUAGCCUCAAAUGACAGCCUGUUCUCACUGUUUGUCUUAAUCCCUAUUCAAAAGGGACUAUUUCAUCAAACUGUUUACUGGGAGCGUGAUAAUGUUUAUUAAUCAAAUAAUUAAGAGUAACAAUGUGCAUUAGAUGCAUUUAUUCAGGUAAAGUCUUGAAUUAUUCAUAAAAACUCAUUUAAUUUCUCUUAAGUGCAUCCGUUUUGCAGAAGCAUGUUGUCAGACAUGAAUUCAGUUUUUGAAAGUAGUUGUCUGCUGUUUUUUUUUUUUUUUUACAACAUGCUAUUGAGGUUGUUGUUUUGUAUGCCAGAAAUUCACUGUAUCAAGAUAAUUUUUUUCCUCUUUUUACAAACUAACUGUGAUAACACUUGUCAACCUGCAGGUUGACCAAAGAGUCCUAGCUAAUGAAAAAGGGGUUGGUUACAAGCAGUGGGUGUGGGAGGACUUCUGCUAUAGGCCAAUUGUACAAUAGCUAGUAACCAUCAAACUCCACAGAUUUGACCACAGCCUACUUAUCUGCACAUCUCAGCAUUAUUCCAUAAUUCUGCCCUCUAAGAACAGGAAGUCAUAUUAAAUCCCAACAACCAUCAGAUAACUUGAUGUCUCUUGCUCUUAAAAAUCGUGGCUUUAUGCAGGUGUGUCCAUUGAAAUGACAAUGAAUAAGUUUAACACGGGUAAAUCAUACUGAAAUAAAUUCGGCUUGUAGAUUUCUUUUUUUCCAUACAUGUGUUGGCAUAGGAAAAUGGAUUGCUCUGUCUGGAUUUGAUCAUCUCUAGUUCAAAACGUUUAACACUUAAACUGAUCAAACCUGGAUUGGACAAUUCAUUACUGAACAGAUAUUCUUAACAGCACAGCUUUAUGAAACUUUUAUUUUUUGUAAAUGGAUAAUGAAAUAUUUGCAGCAGUUUUUUUUUUUUUUUUUUUGCAUCAAGAACAUGUGAAUUAGUCAAACCUAGAAGUUAAUAUUCUCUACUGACUACACUAUUGCAUUUGGCUUUAUGAUUUCUUAAACCUUUGUUCUCUUUGUAAGAACAUUUCUAAAAUCUGUCUUGUCUAGUUUCAAGAACAAAAUAUCAUGCACUGUCUUGUCUUAUGAGUUGGAUGUAUCAUUAAACUCCAACUAAUUAUAUUUAUUUAAACUUGUAGAUUCAUGGACAUUAAAUAUGUGAUUAAAAGUUGGUCAAAUACUGAUUCUAAAUUA